GACGAACGCUGGCGGCGUGCUUAACACAUGCAAGUCGAACGGUGAAGCGCCUUCCUUUUUGGUGGGUGUGGAUGAGUGGCGAACGGGUGAGUAACACGUGAGUAACCUGCCCCCUUCUUCUGGAUAACCGCAUGAAAGUGUGGCUAAUACGGGAUAUUCUGGGUCUGUCGCAUGAUGGGUCUGGGAAAGAUAUUGUUUCGGUGGGGGAUGGGCUCGCGGCCUAUCAGCUUGUUGGUGGGGUGAUGGCCUACCGAGGCGGUGACGGGUAGCCGGCCUGAGAGGGUGGACGGUCACACUGGGACUGAGACACGGCCCAGACUCCUACGGGAGGCAGCAGUGGGGAAUAUUGCACGAUGGGCGCAAGGCUGAUGCAGCGACGCCGCGUGAGGGAUGGAGGCCUUCGGGUUGUGAACCUCUUUCGCCAGUGAAGCAGGCCUGCCUCGUUUGUGGGUGGGUUGACGGUAGCUGGAUAAGAAGCGCCGGCUAACUACGUG
rnacentral:rRNA from 1 species